GAUUACAAAAGAUUCCUGGUUGAGGAGAUUGGCUUUGAGGGUGUAUUGCAUAUCCCCAUGAUUCAGAAAAUCAAUCUCAUGUUCAGCAAGUUCCUCAUGACCAAGGUGGAUGUGAAAGAGCAUUGCAUCAUCCUGAGACACGGCGGAACGCCAAUUACUUUUUAUCCACAGGAUUUCCACAAAGUGUUUGGCAUCCCAUGUGGUCAAUGAGACAUCCAUGGGAAAGAUGCAGACAUCACAUCUGAAGCAAUCGAGUUCAUCAGGAACUCUAUAGGGUGGACAGAGAAAUCUGAUCGCAGCUUAAGUUCGCUCGAAGUGUUCAUCGGCAAGGAAAUAAAUGAACUAUCCAGCCGAUUAGAAAAGGAUUCCUUCAAGAUGGCGUUUGUUGUUUUUGUGAUGGGCAGUCUGUUCGCACCGUGCACCAAAUAUGAUCACUCAACCAUCGACUACUGGGCUGCCAUCAAGGAUGCAGCAAACAUCUCCCUCUUCAAUUGGUGCAAAUAUUCAUUCAAUUUUUUACUAGAAGCAGUCUGCAAACUGAAGUUGGAAACAGAUGCAAACAUAACACCCAACCACCUCUCUGGGUGUCACCUUUUCUUUCAGGUAAAUCCCUCAAAAUCACAGUUGGAUAGGCCAAAUUCACAAAAAUAA
rnacentral:rRNA from 1 species